UCCUUAUCAAUUUUUCUUUUUAUAGAACAUAUGUGGUUGUGUAGUCUUUUGCUUUGCUUUUUGAAAUGCAUUUCGUCUGUUGAUUGAGUUCCUUUCUUUUUCGCUUUAACAGAAUCCUGAGCUAACUUGUAUUGGUUCUGUAUUCAACAAGUUGAGGAAGGAGCUUGGAGAACCUGUAGACUUUGAACUUCCAGAUUGGUUUAAUAAAUCAAAGUCAAUGCAAUACACCUAUAUAAACGUAGUAAUCCUUCAUACAUGUUCUAAAAUGUUCACAAUAACUGUGUAUCUCUCAUUGCUUCUGAAGUAUUUAAUUCCGUUAUACUUAGUUUGUCUGUUUAGAUGGUGCAUAGUUUUAGAUAAUCUUCUAUUUUUGUUUGUUCUUAUAAAUUUUAGAUAUAUAUCUUACUAAAAAGGUCAAGAGAUCCUGGUUUGAUGAUGAUGGCAUAUUCUGUUCCUAUACUCCUUCCCUUGGAUCUACUAGUGUAUGUGGUAAAGAUUGCCAUUGUGGGUAAGUAAUCCAUUUGUAUGUGCUUUAUGGCAAUUUUCAUGUUUUUAUUCUCAUUUUUAUGACAUGCUGACUCCAUCUUAAGUAAUGUUCCUAAAUCUACCUUAAUUGAUUAUUUAUAAAAUUUAUUAAGUUUAUUGUCAAUAGCCAGACAACCAUCCAAAAUCAUCAUUUCUUUCUUCAGAAUGUUAUUUUUGGUGUCUGUCUGAGUACUUGUGUUUCAAUGAGUUAUAUAGUGUGCGGUUAAUUACGUUUUGCUUAAGCAUAUUCAAUUUAUCAUAUAGUAACUAUUGGUAUUUCUGUUUAUUCUCAUUGUUGUCUGACCUGAGCCUUGAUAGUGCUUGUUUCCCAAGUUGACCAUGACAUAAGAAAGCAUGUUAAAUUCCUCAAACCCCAUAAAACCAUCAAAGAAUGGGAUGGGUGUAGCUUUGAUUGGUUUGGUUACUUAAGUUUAAAAGAACACCAUGCAGACUUGUUCCAUGGAUGAAAUGGUUACUACCUUGGACUAACAUGCCAAUGGCUAGCCCAGUGAAGUGGUGUGAUGUUUAAAAUGAAUUGUUAUUGUUUUUAGAUUUUGCUGGUGCACCUAGAAUAGACUAUUUUAUUAUUUGACAUAUAUAGUCUCUGCUUGUUUGUUAUGAAAAUAUAAUAUUACAGAUGCAAAGUCAAGAUGGUUUUUGAGUCAUAUAUAUUAUUCAUUUAUUAUGCCGAGAGCUUCUAAUUGUUUUAUUCCUAUGAUGAUUUGUAGCAAUAUUUGGUAUUUUAUCCAACAUCGUUUAAUAGAGGAGUUAGGAACUUCUUCUAGCAAGUGCAUUUUUUUCCAUUUUAAGGAUAAUUGAUGGUGAAACAAGAAUUGGCAUAUUUGCAACUCGUGACAUACAAAAGGGCGAGCAUCUGACUUAUGAUUACCAGUUUGUUCAAUUUUGGUGCAGAUCAAGAUUGCCACUAUGGUGCUGUUGAGUGUAGGCGUAAGUUAGGUGCCUGACCUACCAAGCCUAAACUUUCUUCAUAUGUUGUAUUAAAAUUAGUUGCAUAUCAGGUGGCUUCAUCUUCUCGUAAAAAUUCUCGAAAAAAAUAGCCAUUCUAUUUGAGUAUAUAUAGUCUCUCUCUAGUCCCCAUGACUGUUGAAUAAUAACAAAAGUACUAAAUAAAUUGAAUUUCAACAUCUUUCUAUUAUUGGUUGGUUUUAAAGACAUGUACAUAUGUUCCAUUUGUUUAUUUUUAUAUUGUACCUAUUUUUUAUUUUUGGGUAUUAAUUUAUGUUAAGCACAUC